rnacentral:misc_RNA from 1 species
UACGGAGGGGGCUAGCGUUGUUCGGAAUUACUGGGCGUAAAGCGCACGUAGGCGGCUUUGUAAGUUAGAGGUGAAAGCCUGGAGCUCAACUCCAGAAUUGCCUUUAAGACUGCAUCGCUUGAAUCAUGGAGAGGCGGGUGGAAUUCCGAGUGUAGAGGUGAAAUUCGUAGAUAUUCGGAAGGACACCAGUGGCGAAGGCGGCCCGCUGGACAUGUAUUGACGCUGAGGUGCGAAAGCGUGGGGAGCAAACAGG